rnacentral:rRNA from 1 species
AAACCAACAGGGAUUGCCUUAGUAACGGCGAGUGAAGCGGCAACAGCUCAAAUUUGAAAUCUGGCCCUUGGGUCCGAAUUGUAAUUUGUAGAGGAUGAUUUUGGUGCGGUAUCUUCCGAGUUCCUUGGAACAGGACGCCUUAGAGGGUGAGAGCCCCGUACGGUUGAAUGCCUAGCCUCUGUAAAUCUCCUUCGACGAGUCGAGUAGUUUGGGAAUGCUGCUCUAAAUGGGAGGUAAAUUUCUUCUAAAGCUAAAUAUUGGCCAGAGACCGAUAGCGCACAAGUAGAGUGAUCGAAAGAUGAAAAGCACUUUGAAAAGAGGGUUAAAUAGCACGUGAAAUUGUUGAAAGGGAAGGAUUUGUGACCAGACUUUUUCUGGGCGGAUCAUCCGGGGUUCUCUCCGGUGCACUUCGCCCAGUAAAGGCCAGCAUCGGUUUUCGGCGUGGGAUAAAAGCAGUAGGAAUGUGGCUCUCUACGGGGAGUGUUAUAGCCUAUUGUAUAAUACCGCGCUGGGGACCGAGGUUCGCGCUUCUGCAAGGAUGCUGGCGUAAUGGUUAUCAAUCACCCGUCUUGAAACACGGACCAAGGAGUCGAACAUUUGUGCGAGUGUUUGGGUGUUAAACCCUCACGCGUAAUGAAAGUGAACCGGAGGUGAGAGCCCUUACGGGUGCAUCAUCGACCGAUCCUGAAGUUUUCGGAUGGAUUUGAGUAAGAGCAUAACUGUUCGGACCCGAAAGAUGGUGAACUAUGCGUGGAUAGGGUGAAGCCAGAGGAAACUCUGGUGGAGGCUCGCAGCGGUUCUGACGUGCAAAUCGAUCGUCAAAUCUGCGCAUGGGGGCGAAA